rnacentral:rRNA from 1 species
UGGGGAAUUUUGGACAAUGGGGGAAACCCUGAUCCAGCCAUCCCGCGUGUGCGAUGAAGGCCUUCGGGUUGUAAGGCACUUUUGGCAGGAAAGAAACGUCGCGGGUUAAUACCCCGCGAAACUGACGGUACCUGCAGAAUAAGCACCGGCUAACUACGUGCCAGCAGCCGCGGUAAUACGUAGGGUGCAAGCGUUAAUCGGAAUUACUGGGCGUAAAGCGUGCGCAGGCGGUUCGGAAAGAAAGAUGCGAAAUCCCAGAGCUUAACUUUGGAACUGCAUUUUUAACUACCGGGCUAGAGUGUGUCAGAGGGAGGUGGAAUUCCGCGUGUAGCAGUGAAAUGCGUAGAUAUGCGGAGGAACACCGAUGGCGAAGGCAGCCUCCUGGGAUAACACUGACGCUCAUGCACGAAAGCGUGGGGAGCAAACAGGAUUAGAUACCCUGGUAGUCCACGCCCUAAACGAUGUCAACUAGCUGUUGGGGCCUUCGGGCCUUGGUAGCGCAGCUAACGCGUGAAGUUGACCGCCUGGGGAGUACGGUCGCAAGAUUAAAACUUAAAUGAAUUG